rnacentral:rRNA from 1 species
CCUACGGGUGGCAGCAGUGGGGAAUUUUGGACAAUGGGGGCAACCCUGAUCCAGCCAUGCCGCGUGCGGGAAGAAGGCCUUCGGGUUGUAAACCGCUUUUGUCAGGAGAGAAAUCUCUUGGGCUAAUACCCUGAGAGGAUGACGGUACCUGAAGAAUAAGCAGCGGCUAACUACGUGCCAGCAGCCGCGGUAAUACGUAGGGUGCAAGCGUUAAUCGGAAUGACUGGGGGUGGUGCGUGCGCAGAGGGGUGAAAUCCCCGGGCUUAACCUGGGAACUGCAAUUGUGACUGCACGGAUAGAGUACGGCAGAGGGGGAUGGAAUUCCGCGUGUAGCAGUGAAAUGCGUAGAUAUGCGGAGGAACACCGAUGGCGAAGGCAGUCCCCUGGGCCUGUACUGACGCUCAUGCACGAAAGCGUGGGGAGCAAACAGGAUUAGAUACCCGGGUAGUC